GACCAGGUUCUGGUGAGAACCUCCUUUAAGAUGAGAACCUACUUUAAAAUGAGAACCUUUGAUAGCCGUUGGAUUAAAAUAAAACGGAUGGCUGAGAUUUGUCUCGCGAAUUAAAUGAAUGUUGAUGCGCGGUUACUUUCUCUCUCUAGUUCAUCGAAUUUUCUUCCACAACUGCCAAAUUCGAUGUGUGCAUUUUCUCUCUCCAGUUCUUCAAAUCAUCGUGCGUACAACCAAUUUCGCAUUUGAAUCUGCAAAUCCGAUGUUCAAAUCAGUAUUUCUAUUAUACUUGAAUCUGCAAUCAUUGAGCCCAAAAUUGAAGAUUGAAUUUGAUGCGAACUACCUCAAGACAAGGGCAAGAGUUGCGAGUUCAAUCCAAAUUGAUUUCUAGAGGGGUUGGUGAUGCAGACUUGCUGCCACUGUUGUCCUGUGUGGACUGCUGGACAGGUGAACUAUUUUGUACAAUUCUGAAGGGCUGGUCAAUGGUGAUGCAGGCUUGUUGCUGGGUAGCUGAGUUGUUCUGUAUGGUUGCGGUCCUUACCUUUUAUGUCAGAUUGCUGUGUAGGAAAUCAGAUAUUCUUAUAUCAUGUUUUAGAAAGUAGAUCAAAACCUGAUAAAAGUAAAUAGAUUAAGCUGAGAAGUAAAUUCGUGAAGCUAGUUGUGAAUUCUUACGAGCCGUUACCAUAAAUGUCAUAUUUGGCAUAUUUGAGCUUUUAAGGAUUUGAGUUGGAAUAAUAAUUGAUAAUGAAGAUGGUGUGUUGACCCAAACAGAUAAAGUAACUACAUUGUGUAUAAGUAACUUAAUAUGAUGACCCAAGGUGUAUGUAGUGCGAAGAAGACGAGAUUGUGUUGAGUAUUUUGUAUGACUUAAUGUCAGUUGGAGUUGAGUAUUUUAUUACUAGAUGUGUUUAA